CAGCCAUAUCACGUUGAAACACGGGUUCUCGUCCGAUCACCAAAGUUAAGCAAUGAUGAACCUGGUCAUUACCUAGAUGGGUGACCGUUCGGGAAUACCAAGUAUUGUAAG